AUUAAUUAUGUUAAAGCGCCUUACCUUAGGGUUUCCUCUGGGGUAAGUGAUUGCUUCUACACUGUGAAAAUUUGGCUGAGAGACUCAGACUGGUCAUGGGUAGACCUAUCUGGGGUUUGAUCGAUGCCACUCCUGGUUUCAGGAGUACCCUUCAUAAUAAACCUAGAAAUUCAGUAUUAUAAAGUUUAAUAAAAAACAACUUUUAACAAUGGAUCUCUUGGUUCUCGCAUCGAUGAAGAACGUAGCAAAGUGCGAUAACUAGUGUGAAUUGCAUAUUCAGUGAAUCAUCGAGUCUUUGAACGCAGCUUGCACUCUAUGGUUUUUCUAUAGAGUACGCCUGCUUCAGUAUCAUCACAAACCCACACAUAACAUUUGUUUAUGUGGUGAUGGGUCGCAUCGCUGUUUUAUUACAGUGAGCACCUAAAAUGUGUGUGAUUUUCUGUCUGGCUUGCUAGGCAGGAAUAUUACGCUGGUCUCAGGAUCUUUUUUUUUGGUUCGCCCAGGAAGUAAAGUACAAGAGUAUAAUCCAGUAACUUUCAAACUAUGAUCUGAAGUCAGGUGGGAUUACCCGCUGAACUUAAGCAUAUCAAU
rnacentral:rRNA from 1 species